GUAUAUCAUAGGGCAGCACUGAGUGAUACACACUGUAUAUCAUAGGGCAGCACUGAGCGAUACACACUGUAUUUAAUAGGACAGCACUGAGCGAUACACACUGUAUUUAAUAGGACAGCACUGAGCGAUACAUGCAUUAAACAGUUUUUAAUGUUUGAAUUCUAACCAAGAGUCCCUAGCAGCUCAUGACCUUUGUGAUUGGCUGAGAGUUUCACCUGACUGCUUUUAGCCUAUCAGAGCUCCAUCAAAUGGUAUGAAUGAGUAUGACAACAACAAAGUGUGUAAUCUCUGUAUUAGCCACACCUCCAGAGGGCCCAGACUGUGGGUGGUCAGGGACCCUUAUUUAGUUUUAAAUUGCUCGAAUGUGUUUUAACACUGACGGGAGGGACAGUGCCAGGGGACUCCAAGCACUAUAAUCAAUGCAAAGAGAUGAACUGGUUAUAGUGACAACAGUGUUCAUUUAAGUAAUACAUUCUGAAAACGUGUAGUAUUCAUUACCGAAAUGCUGCACAUACAGACUUCAGGGCAAUCACACGUGGCCAUGGCUCUUUGAAAAUCCCUUUAUGCUCUCAAAGCUUAAGCUAAAGUAAAACUAUUUGCCUGAAUCCUAAAUGUAACUCUUUAAACUAAACACACCACUUUCCCCAAUACUAAAUUUAACCACACUCUAACCUUAAACACAGUAAUCCUUAAAGGGACACUAUAGUCACCAGAACAACUACAGCUUAUUUUAUAAGACACAGAUCAUUUUAUAGGAUACAGCUUAUUGAAUUUGUUCUGUUGAGUAGAAUCAUUCCCUUCAGGCUUUUUGCUGUCAACGCUGUCUUUUCAGAUAAAAUGCAGUGUUUACAUUACAUCCUAGUGAUAACUUCACUGGCCACUCCUCAGAUGGCUGUUAGAGAUGCUUCCUGGGUCAUGGCUGCCUAAAAUGCAUCCAAACAUUCAGUGUCUCCUCCCUCUGCAUGCAGACACUGAACUUUCCUCAUAGAGAUUCAUUGAUUCAAUGUAUCUCUAUGAGGAGAUGCUGAUUGGCCAGGGCUGUGUUUGAAUCAUGCUGGCUCUGCCCCUGAUCGGCCUCCUUGUCAGUCUCAGCCAAUCCUAUGGGGAAGCACUGUGAUUGGAUCAGGCCACCACUUCUGAUGAUGUCAGCAGACUGCUUGUUUUUCUGAGUCUAACAGCAUGCAGAGUUACAGCUUCAGGCUUGAAUACAGUAAGAUUUGUACUAUAUUUAUGGAGGCAUGAGGGGCCCAGGGGGGCUAGAUGGUGGGUUUAACACUAUAGGGUCAGGAGUACAGGUUUGUGUUCCUGACCCAAUAGUGAUCCUUUAACACAAUAGCUGUACACCCUCUAAAGCUGUAAUCUAAUUAACCCCACUCUAACCUUAACACUGUAUGUGCCAUGAAUACAAAGCUGUAUUCCUGGCACUAUAGCUCCCUCGGGUGUAUUGUGGGAUAGAGAGAGUUACUCUCAGCUACAGGAAUGAAAUUUGUUUAGAAUGCAUUACCAGAUUCUUUUAUGGUUUCCCUUUGAAUUUUCAACACAUCAGUGUUCUGCUUAAUACAUGUCGAUGAGUAUUUCUUAUUUUUAUAGCACCCUCAUACUCUGCAGGACUGACUCCUCGCAAAUGUUUUAAUAUAGUCUGAUUUUGGGAACUCUGCCUACGCAAUUAACCAUUUCCAUUAAAGGAUAGGAGAGGAGUGUGAGGGAGUCACAGAUCGCUCCUGGUAUGAAGGACAGGAGAUGAGUGUGAGGGAGUCACAGAUCGCUCCUGGUAUGAAGGACAGGAGAUGAGUGUGAGGGAGUCACAGAUCGCUCCUGGUAUGAAGGACAGGAGAGGAGUG